rnacentral:rRNA from 1 species
AGCGAACGCUGGCGGCAGGCCUAACACAUGCAAGUCGAACGAUCCUUCGGGAUAGUGGCGGACGGGUGAGUAACACGUGGGAACGUGCCCUUUGGUUCGGAAUAACUCAGGGAAACUUGAGCUAAUACCGGAUGUGCCCUUCGGGGGAAAGAUUUAUCGCCAUUGGAGCGGCCCGCGUUGGGUUAGCUAGUUGGUGGGGUAAAGGCCCACCAAGGCUACGAUCCAUAGCUGGUCUGAGAGGAUGAUCAGCCACACUGGGACUGAGACACGGCCCAGACUCCUACGGGAGGCAGCAGUGGGGAAUCUUGCGCAAUGGGCGAAAGCCUGACGCAGCCAUGCCGCGUGAAUGAUGAAGGGCUUAGGAUUGUAAAAUUCUUUCACCGGGGACGAUAAUGACGGUACCCGGAGAAGAAGCCCCGGCUAACUUCGUGCCAGCCGCCGCAGUAACAC